rnacentral:lncRNA from 1 species
GGCCCGUCCCCCCAUCGUGGCGUCCCGCCCCCUCCCCUCUCGCGCGGGCGCCGCAUCCCGUUAGCGCUCGGGGCUCGGUCUCGCGAUGCUGGCCCGUCGCCGCCGCCGCCAUAUUGUGACACUAUUUUGAUUUGGAGCGCAGCGAGCGGGGGGAGGGGGGGCCGGGAGCGACGCGGAGCCGCGGCGGUUCCGGCGGAGGACGGGAGCGGCGCCGCAGACACUCAGCCACCCCCGGCCUCCCCGCUUCUCCCGCUCUGCGGCCACGGCACGGACCCCCCCCUCCCUUCUCCCCUCCUCCUUCUCCUCGGCCGCCUUCUCCUCCUCCCUCCCCCCCCCGCGGCGGAACGGCGGCGGCGGGAGGUUGCGGAGCGGCGGCGGAGCGGCUCGGAGCGGCGGGGUCCCCCCUGCCGGGAGGCGGCGGCGGCGGCGCCGGUGGCGGCGGCGGUAGUGGCGGCGGCUGCCGUGGUGGGGGAGGCGGCGGCGGAGGAGGAGGAGGAGGCGGAGGAGGAGGAGGCGGAGAGGCGGCGGCAGGGUAAGGCAGACCCCGCCGUGGCGGGCCCGUCGGCGGCUCCGAGGGGCCGGUUUCGCCGAGGGGCCGCUCCCUUCCCCGGGGGGCUGCGGGGAGCGGUGCGGGGCGGCCCGGCCCCGCAGGCCCGAGGCUCCGAGGCGGCCCCGAGUCCCGCGGCGAGGCCGGGGCGGGCCUCGGUGCGGGGAGGGGGCGGCGGGCGCCCCGCAUCGCGGCGGGCGGGGGGAGCCCGGCCUCCCGGAGGAGGGGGAGGGAGACAGGGAGUCGCGGGGCGGCAGCGGGAGGUGGAAACUUUUUCCUUGGCGAGCCGGGAGGAAUCCGCUCCGCGUGUCGCCCCCCGCGGCUGCGGGAGCCCCGCGUGCGUGGCGGGGCGGCAGGUGACAGGUGCGCGGCUGCGGGGCGAGGCCCCGCCAUUUGGGGCUCAGCCUCGGGUCCAAGUGCGGGGUCUGCGAGCUCCGAGGCCUUAUAUAGUCCACCUCCGGUUUCCAUUAUUCAACUCGGUUUAA